GGGAAUGCUGGAUUCAUGAUUGAUAUGUUAAAGGAGUGUGGAUUAUCUCACAAAUCAAUAAUUUUUGUCUUGGAUGAGUUUGAUCUUUUUGCUCAGGGGAAACAACGUUUACUUUAUAGUUUGCUUGAUGCAAUGCAAACAAUGACUUCACAGGCUAU